UUACUUUAAAAAAGUACAGAAACACAUUUGUGGAGAAACCAAAGGUAAACACAUAAACCAGUAGUUUCCUCUGGUGCACAAACCAAAAUACACCAGAAAGAGUUAUUGCCCUUUGUAACACUCUCUUGUAUUGGAGAUAUGAACAGCCUUCAUUUGUUUUCAGUAUGGCAGGAGGUGGAAAUUGAGUUUUUAUUCAAUUUGUUCUUCAGAUGUUUAUCAAUAUCAGAUGCUCUUUGUUCACUUAAUUCACUACCACGAUCUUUAUCUUCAAUUGUGCUAAAGGAUUCCGGUUUAUUUCAUGGAAUACAAAUCCGUUUGAUCUUUGCCAUAGUCACCGGACUCUAGCAUCCAAUCGUCUACGUAUUCGUAGAAAAAGUAAAUGUUGUGGAAUUUAACGCUUUAUUGCAUCACAUCCGACUAAAAAAAUGACCAGGGAAACAGAAGGCUGACAGACAUAUUCAUAGAAAAUAUGAAAAAGCCCUGCCUGUUGCCGUGUUGGAACUUGUAUUGACCUGUAUGAGCAUCAUACUGUGCAAAUCACCUAAAGAUGGAGUUGACCAAGUUGCUGACUUUGAGGAGAACUUGAAGAGCAGAAGAUGCAUUCCAUGACUCUUAUGUGAUAUAGAAGAGAAAGAAGAGCUCUUGAGAAUGGAAAAAAACUGCGAGUUUUACAGUCAAUGAACACACCUCACGACACACGUCCAUCCUGAUUCAGUAAACUGUUCUUCUAAGGAAACACCAUGACUUAGUUAAGAUCAAGUUUUGGUGUCAGAAGACUAAUGUAACUAAAACAUUGCAAAAUUAACCUGCAAGUGUCUUAUGUAAGCCUACUGAAUAAGGAUUCAUUACUGAACAGUUGAAGGAAAAUCAAUAUUAUAAUGAUUUUAAAAAAAAGAUGAUUGUGUUGUUUGGAUAACAUUGUGAUCCAUGUUUGUUGAAUAAACAACUUUGCAAAAAUGAGUUGUUCUGUGUUAAUAUUAUAAAUUUACUAAUUACUGGUAUGUCAACAUAGAUUACAGUAACACUGAACAAACUUCAAUAAAUUUUAACGUUUCAUGCAGUUUCUGCAGUAGAAAAUGACACCUAUUGAUUUUCUGGUCCAAAGGUCACCAGGUGCAAUAUAAUACUCUGUACAAUUGAUGUCUGACCAGUUUCUUCAGAACCCUUUGAUUGAUAGUGAUAUUUCAUACAGGGGUUGGUCACUGGUAGUAUAUGACCCCCAUUGAUUUUCAGGUCAAAAGAUUAAAAAUGGCAGGGGCCUCCGUGGCCGAGUGGUUGGAGCAUAGCGUUCAAAAUGACACUGCCUCAGUCGGCGCGGGUUCGAAUCCCGCUCGCGCUGGUAUUAAGUGAGAAAGUUUCCCAAUUUACUUUCGGAAGGUCGGUGGUCUCUUCCCAGGUACAUUGUAUCUGGGUUCUCACUUUCACCAAUAAACACUGGGCACCAUCAGAAAACUGAAAAAUUGUUGAGUGUGGCGGAAAAUAUCAAUAAAUCAAUCAAUUAAAAAUGACUAGGUGCAAUGUAGCUAGUACUCUAUGCAAUGGUGUCCCCCCAAUAUCUUGGGCCUGUUGUUCAAUUAUGAUAUUUCAUAUGUUGGUUGGUUAUGAAUAGUAGAUGACCCUAAUGAUUUCCAGGUCAAAGGUCAACAAAUACAAGGCAGUACAAUGAACAAUUUAUUGGUAUCUACCCAAUAUCUUGAGAAGACUUUUUAUAGUUAUUGAUAAUAGUUUACAUGACAAUACAGUACAUGUAAUAUAGCUCGUUUAUGGAAAUGAUUGCAAAAUCUACUUGGUAUUUGGGGAGGGGGGGGGGGUCCUACUGGAUUACAGUUUAUGUUUACAUGUUUUUUUUUAAUCAUUCUAACUAAUUUUUAUUAAUAUGUUAAACUUCUCCAUGUUUAUUUUUGAAAUAUCAAUUGCUCAUAUUGUUCAUUUUAACUGAAAAUGGUGUAGGUUGUAUUAUUUGUCAUUAGUAUGAAUUUUUGGCAAAAUGCCCAAAUCUACAGUUUUCGCACUACAAUAGAUCAAUUGUACUACAUUUCACCAUUAAUCUUUUUUUUUUAUAAAUUAGGAGUCUUUGAUAUGGACACCCUUUGAUGACAGUUGAUUAUGCUGUAUGUAUUUUCCAAAUUAUCUAAAUUCAUCAACGAAAUCCAACAAAAAAUCCCGUUUUGGCAAAAUGACCAAAUCUACAGUUUUCUUACUACAAUAGAUCUAUUGCACUACGUUUCACCAUUAAUCUUUUUAUAUACAUUAAGAGUCUUUGAUAUGGACAUCCUUUGAUGACAGUUGAUUUUGC